rnacentral:piRNA from 1 species
UAGAGGACUCUGCUGCAUCGUCUU